rfam:Penicillium steckii strain IBT 24891 PENSTE_contig011, whole genome shotgun sequence.
GAGACUUCCGACGCGACACAACAUCCUGCAGCGGUGUUGUGUGACCUGCAGUGUCCGUCGGAAGUCUC